UCACCUCCCCUGAGAACCUCUCUGCACCUGGAUGGACGGGCCACUGAGGGAGGCGGACUCUUCUUCUCCAUCGAUCCGGGAAAGGAAGGGUGAUGUUGACAGGAAUGGAGAUGAUGCCCGCCAUCGGCCAUGAAACCUUCCAGUCUGAAAGUGGUUCACAAUAACUAUGUUAGAAUAAAACAGUGGAUGAAACAUCAGUGUCAGUGCCUGGAUGAAGCAGGAAGCUCCCUCCCACCCAUUCACUUUUCUCCAGCGAGCAGCUCCCAUCGUCUCCUACCUUUCACCCUUGCUUCUCCGCCUCCAGAUCCAUUCCCGUCCCUUCCUACAUUGCCUCCUCUUCCUGCUGACCAGUGCAAACCCACCAAAAGCUCCCAUCCAGCUGAACAUUCGCAAGCCAUGAAGCUCUUUGAAAAGUUGCAUUCGCUGAACAAUGCUGAAAUUGAUUCAAAUUUUACUUGCCUUCCGUUUCUCCAACAACUCCGCAGUAGCGAUGUCUCCUGAAGGGUGCUCCUAUGUUCUUCGACCCUAAUAGACUGCAAUUCUUUAUAGGUUUUUCCACAUUUUUCAGACUAGGGUAGUGCAGGAGCUCGGAUGAUUUGAGAAAGAAUUAUCCAUUGUUAACUCUGCUAGGGAUCCCCCAGGAUAAAUAUUCAUUGGAUAUGAAUCUAAUUCGGCACCGAUUACAAAAUAAGGCCAGUGAAGUUUCGUCUGAUCUCCUAGGAACCAGCGAUACAUCUCAUAUUCGGGUUAAUCCAUCGAGAUGAAUCACAGAUAUCGGUAUCCAUUGUCGGUCGCUGAUACUUUGAAGAUCCAUUUGCACGAGAAACCCGAUCCAUGUGACCUUCAGCCCCGCUGUGAUAUGGAAAGUCAGGCCAAACAGCUUUUGCGAUUACCUCUGAUUCCACCGCACGGCGGAGCUUUCGUUUUCCUCUGUUCGAAGAUUUCUAGGGAGAAAUCGAGUAAUCACCAGAAUCAAGGAACCUGCGGCCUCGUCUCCCUGAGACGUUCUCCCCUGGAGACUCGAGUCUAGAGUCGCCAUU
rnacentral:lncRNA from 1 species